UAACGGCACGGUUAGUCGACGCGUUUGACACCGACAUCGUCUAAGCUAUCCACCCUAACGUCCUAUGUUCCAUCCCUGUACUAACCACCUCGUUGAAAACCAGUUGUGGACCCUCAUAUAUUCACAUCAUUCACUCAGGUUUACAUCUCAACGUUUUUUUUGCAACUAAUGUGGCAUCUGAAAAUUGAGUUUCUUUGCAUCUAAAUUUUAGAGUAGUUUAGAAAUUUAUAUUGUAUCCUCUCUGUUUUAUUUACAAAAAUGAGUAGUUUUUGGUUUUUAGAGCAGAAAUCUAGCUGCAAUGUUCACAAAAAUGUAAAGAGAGAUUAAAGGGGAACACAACCAACUUCCGGGAUCCGCAACAGCACGCGCGUUGCGAUGAUUGUGCCUGCAGUCAGGCCGCUCGCGAAGUACACACUGGAGUUGUGUGUGUCUACGCCGCCGCCGGUGGCCGCUGCGGCCAUGAAGGAGUGUGUGCUUGAUGAGUACGCCACCAAGCACAGGAUCUCCAUCGAUAGGUUUCUCCAGCUUAGGAUAUUUGUCAAGGUGCAUGAUCGGGCUUAAAGUCACUGCAUACGUGAGGUGCUCGAGCAGUAGGAAUCUGCAUCUACCAUGGAUGAUGUUGCUACAUAAACAAAACAAUAUAAUUGCUGGUAUUAUUUUCAACUUUUGGUCCUUUUGACUCUAUUAAAUUCUUUAUCCAUUACUGUUUCUCGAUAGUUUGUUGUGAAUGUUGCCUGCACAUUCAAAUGAUAUGUGGGAUUAGUUUCCAGUCACUGAAGUGCAAACCUUAGCUAGAUCUCUUCUGAUGCAGAAAUCUCACUUUUUGUCUGGGUGAAUUCUACACAUUUCAGACCAGAAAAAUCUUGGUACAAGUCUUAAUACAAGCCAUUUAGUUAUCAGCAUAUAUAUUCACUGUGUGGUAGCUAUACUCUAAAAAAUAUUCAAAGAAAGUAGGGGUGCAGUGGUUAUGCCGCUGUUUAAUAAUCUGCUGAAGGAAAUAGCAACAUUGCAAAGAGGUGCAAACGGUGCUACUUGAUGCUGAAACCUGAGUACCAGUCAUUUUAAUUGUAGCUGUUUGCAGCAAAGUUUUCGCUAAAUGUAGUGCAUAAACUUAAUUUAUUUUUGCCGCUUGAAACUUAUAUAUACACAGGCAACUGUUUUUUUUUUUCAUUUCCAAAGGCUUCCAUCCGUAUUAACCUUGUUUUUUUAUUAAAGUAUUAAAUUUUUGGUUAGCAGUAUUUUGUUAUGUGUUUUAGAUUUAAUGCUUCUAGAAUAUUUCUCUAUAUGUAUUCAUGUUCUAUGAAAAUGCUAUCUUUUGGUGUUCCAUGCAAAGAGGUAUAUAUGUGAACUGAAUGUUGCGGUUAUUUAAAUAUUCACAAUUUGCACACUCAUGAUCUAUUUCAGAAACUUAAAACCAAGUACCCAAUAGUUUUGACAAAUGAACACUAUUUUGUUUGCACAGAAUAAAAAAUGUGAUGAUGCUGUUGGGUUGUUAUUAAAUUGACUAAUUGUUUUAGCCCUUGGUCCCAUCCAAAAAAACUGGCUUUGCAAGCCAACACAUUCAGUGGUUAACGAGUAGCAUAUUUUUAUAUAUAAUGAUAUUACUAAAUGUUUGAGAGUUUUACUUUCAUAUAUGUGCCUUACUUAUUUAUAUAUUUCAGGAGUCUUCUUAAGGAUUAGAUUAUUGUCGUUGAAAAACCAUCCACUAUAGCUGCUACCUCUACUCACUUUGGCACACCAUCUAAAAAUGCAGAGAAGCAGGUUAAUUUAUAGUGGGUGAGCUUAAUCCACUGUAGAAAGCAGAAUAUGAAUGCAACAGGCUGCCUGCUAUGAUUGAUGCUCAUUUAUUCAGAGAUUAUCAUUUAGCAUUCUGGUACUUGAUGAGAAGUUAUAGGUUUGGUCUCUUCUGUGCAUGGGGUCAACCCCAGGAUGGUGAUCUGCAUCUAUGGCUUCCCCACCAAUGUCGCUGCCAUCUAGGUACGAAUCAAUUCAGUCCAAUCAUCUCCUCUAGCAUCUGUUCUUGAUAUAGGAAAAAAAAGUAUUUUUUUGGUAGAUCAUGUUAUGUGAUAGUCGUCCAUGACCUGUUCUACUUCCUUCCUCAGCAUUUACUGUUGUAGGUUUCCACAUUCACUAGGUUUCCAUACUCUUAACACGCAAGAAGUAGAGCCCAAGGUUUCUUAUAUAUUUUGCCUGUUCUACAAGAGGAUUGAGAUGUUUAGUGUAAUCCUUUGUGACUCAUGGACAAAACCAUGUAGGUCCUUGUUGAUAUAUAUGGUGAUCCAGAACUCCUUGUUGCAUAUGGUAUUGUUUUUUCUUUUCCUUUGUGCACACUUAGUUUGUGAGGCAGUUGAUUUUGACCUUCCUUUCCAUAGAAAAAAUAUUUCCUUUUAUGUUGUUUUAAAUUCCAUGUGCUAACUCAGAUUUAUUGUGAUUAGUUGUUGUUGUGCUAAUCUUCAAAUGUUUAGUAUAUUUUGUGCAUUUUGAUGCUCUAUUGCUCUGCAAACCAUGGCUUUUGAAUGCACUAUUUUGGUUGGACAGGUAAAUGUGUUGUAGGACUAUUUUAGCUAGGAUUCAUAAACUUUGCACUACACAUCGCUGCUGGUUUUUGUCCUAAAUAGGGACAGUUAUUUAGGACAUAAUUUGAAGAUUGAAUUUUUCUGCUAUUUGAAUCACAAUUGAGUUGCUGGUGAUAAAUGUUAUCCAAGGCUUGAGUGCUCGACACUAUUUAUUAUUUCAUUCUUUUUCUGAUAUUCCUCUAGCAAUUUGCAUUAAAAAGUUUCUGAUAUUUCUCAAAAUGUACAUAAAAUAAUCUUUAGUCAAAUCAUGAAUUCGUUGACGUGUGAUUGGUUAUAUUGUACGAAACAAUGCUCUCUAGCAGUCAUGCAAGGUGUUCAAUACAUGUGUCUUGGAUAUUGAAACUAGAUUCCAUGGUUUACAUCUCAAUUUUUUUGCCGCACCACAUGAGUUAACCUCUUUGCAGCUUGCUGCAUAUAAUUUACUUGCCACGAUUAAUUACCCAUACAGCUUACCACGAACUAGGGGAAUAACCUCAUUAUGGAAAAUCAAGACAACUUUCUUAAUGUUGUAUCUUGAUGUGCAUUCUUUUGAAUCUAGGCUUAUUUUUAUGCAGUUAAAUUUAUGAUUUAUACUCCUCCAAGUUCCAUCAGCCCGCUUUGUAUAAUAUUAUGCUUUAGAUGGGAUUAGAGGCCUUUCAAAGGCAGAAAGAGAAAUUAUGCUCCUCCAGUUGGCCUAGGCUUCAACUCUGGGUUUUUAUUUCUAUUGCUGGUCAUUCAUACACAAGAUUUCAUGAGCCCACAGUUCACCUUUUGGUCCUACCUCAUUUAUCAGCAUAGGCGAUAGUAGUUGAUGAUUAUAUACCAUUUCCCAGACUAUUCCGAAAGAGCCUAAUGUUGGGGAUAUUUCAAGGAUGCUAAUUGUUGUAAUGGGUGCAAGCCAUGUUAUUAAUGGGUCAUGAGGAAUUAGUCUCUGACCAAAGUAUCUAAAAAAUGCUAAGAAAGACCAAUUUGUGGUGCUACUUGAUCCCAAGAAACAAGGUGUACAGGAAGGGAAUGUGAAA